rnacentral:rRNA from 1 species
CCUACGGGAGGCAGCAGUGAGGAAUAUUGGUCAAUGGACGAAACUCUGAACCAGCCAAGUAGCGUGAAGGAUGACUGCCCUAUGGGUUGUAACCUUCUUUUAUAUGGGAAUAAAAUGUUCCACGUGUGGGAUUUUGUAUGUACCAUAUGAAUAAGGAUCGGCUAACUACGUGCCAGCAGCCGCGGUAAUACGGAGGAUCCGAGCGGUAUCCGGAUUUAUUGGGUUUAAAGGGAGCGUAGGUGGAUUGUUAAGUCAGUUGUGAAAGUUUGCGGCUUAACCUUAAAACUGCAGUUGAAACUGACAGCCUUGAGUACAGUAGAGGUGGGCGGAAUUCGUGGUGUAGCGGUGAAAUGCUUAGAUAUCACGAAGAACUCCGAUUGCGAAGGCAGUUCACUGGACUGUAACUGACACUGAGGCUCGAAAGUGUGGGUAUCAAACAGGAUUAGAUACCCGAGUAGUC